GUUACAACUGAUUGCAGCUCUGUCAGGAGCACUGCAAAUCCCUUUGGAUUCAUGUAACUCUUGCCCAUUUUGAGAGAGAACAUUAGUCAGGUACCUGAAUUUUUCACCACUCCAGUCGAUGCAACAAGGCAUUGUGUCUUGGAGAAAAGAGCCAAUUAUUUCUGUUUGGGAAAGCUCCCAAAGAAGCACAUCCUCUUGCCCCCAAGGCCAGGAUGAUCACCAGUAUCAGUGACCCAGGGCUCAGACACACUCCGGUACCAGGACCUAACCUAAAGUUAAUUACAGUCAAAAGUGGAACUGCAGCAGUUGUCAAAAUAUGCUAAUCUACCAACCUCAGUUAAAAUGAGCAUUGGAAGGAAAGAAGAUUUCGGAUAGAAAAGAAAAAAAGGACUAAAUUGCAGCUAAGAGGAAAUUUUGGAACUUUGAGGUUCAGAAAUGCCUGCAUACCAGUACUUUAUUAUUGCCAGCAACAUUGGCACUGCUUAGGGGUAUGAGCCCCUUUUUAAAAGCAUAUUCCCUUCACAGUGGAUCUGAAAGCCUGUCAGGAAAAUCAACCCUUUUAGCAGCAUUUACAUCUGUACUCAGCCUUCAUUGUUGCUGGAUCUCUGUGGGACUUAAAUGUAUCCUUAAAUGCUGCCCUUGGAGACAUUUUCCUGAGAAACUCAUUUUCUGAAACACGGCCCCUAAAUGCAUGGAAAAGCAGCAAAGCAUCUCUGUCUUCCCAUUUCCUGAACUUCAGCUCAAUUAUAAAAACACUGAUUUUUAAAAGUCCUUCAAAAGGAGCUCUUUUCUUGUCACCAUGUGUCACUCUGUCAGUCAUACUUCAAGCCAUGGAUUUGAAAACCGACCUGCAGAAGCAGCUGCCUUUGUCAGAGAUGUAACUUGACAGCUUCUCUGGGGGACUUUCAAUUAGGAUUUUUUUCCCUAAGGAAAAAAAAAAACAAAAAACAAAAAACAAAAAACAAAAAACAAAAAACAAAAAACAAAAAACAAAAAACAAAAAAACUGAAAGUGUCAGUCCAAAUGCAGUGAGAAAAUGCUGAUGUAGGGGAGGCCUAUACAUACUGCCUUCUACUUCAGGAUGAUCAGGAAUAUAAAAUGCCAAGUUUUUUAAAAGUUCUUUUAAAAAACUUGUUUCAGGAACAUGGAAAGAGCAGUUUCUGCUGUUUGAUGGGCUGGGUGGCUCUGAGGCCUGAUGGCCUGAUGGGCUGAGGGCUCAGCCCAGCUGGCAGAGAGGUGGCUCUGUGACACCUUUCGGAAUCCCGUGUUUUCCACUUCAAACUUGGGAGUCUCGAUGGAGGAAGUUUAAGAACCCCAGCAAAUUUCAUUGCUGCUUGCUGAAAGCUUGGAUUCUGAGGCAGUGCGAGCUGCUGUGGCUGGAAAGAGCCGAACCCUUGGGCCGGCUCAGAGCCGCCUCAACCUCAAGGGCAAAAGCCCCUCCCGUGAAAAUGGGACCGAGGUGUGGGAGCUGCCAUCCCUGGCAGCUCUGCUCCCAGGCUGCCUUCCUGGAAACCUCAUUGCUGUGGAUAUGGGGGAUCCCAGGAUCCUGUGGAAACCCUGGCUGCCCUUCAAACCGCCCCGAGCCCGUCCGGCCCUGCCUUGGGAUCGCCGCCAUCACCACAGCCCCGUCAGCUGCGGUCAAUGUUACAGCCCUGCUCCAGAGAGGAAAUUUCCUUGUGAAGUGUGGACAAAAAAAUAUACCUAAUUGAGUUUAUAGCUCGAAAAGUGGUAAAACAGCCCUUGAAGGAGUCAUUGAAUGUGAAUGGACUCAAUGAUUUCUGCCUGAAUCAUCAGCAAGCUUUAAAGACGCACAGCGUGUGCAUGAGGGGAAGGCAGGAGCCCCGGACGAGGACUGUUCACAAAAUCCCACUGACUUUGUAGUUUUUGUUAUUUUAUUUGUAUUUUUCACUGAAACCUGACUGGAAAACUGAUGCAAAUGCUUUGGAUAGGCCCAAGGGGUGAAGGUGCAAAGGACCAAUGAUAUCCCACACCAGCGUUCCUCAUCCACUGCCUCUGCCUUCUGCUGAAGCCGGGACUGUGACACCGUGACCGGAGAAGACUUCGGAACCACAGUGGGACAGACCACUGCGAGUACUUCUCACCACCUUCACUGCAAUCAAAAUCAAGGAGCAGGACGCCUGGAUUCAUCACUCUCGGGUGAAGAAGGCCCAGAAACCCCUUAAGGAGUGACACCAGGAGACAAUGAACUGAGAUUAAAACUUACUCGGGCAAAAUGAGUAUAUUGCGGUCGGGAGUAGCUCAUAUUUUAGUUUGUAGAAUUGUAU